rnacentral:rRNA from 1 species
GCACAAGCGGUGGAGCAUGUGGUUUAAUUCGAAGCAACGCGAAGAACCUUACCAAAUCUUGACAUCCUUUGACAACUCUAGAGAUAGAGUCUUCCCCUUCGGGGGACAAAGUGACAGGUGGUGCAUGGUUGUCGUCAGCUCGUGUCGUGAGAUGUUGGGUUAAGUCCCGCAACGAGCGCAACCCUUAAGCUUAGUUGCCAGCAUUAAGUUGGGCACUCUAAGUUGACUGCCGGUGACAAACCGGAGGAAGGUGGGGAUGACGUCAAAUCAUCAUGCCCCUUAUGAUUUGGGCUACACACGUGCUACAAUGGACAAUACAAAGGGCAGCUAAACCGCGAGGUCAUGCAAAUCCCAUAAAGUUGUUCUCAGUUCGGAUUGUAGUCUGCAACUCGACUACAUGAAGCUGGAAUCGCUAGUAAUCGUAGAUCAGCAUGCUACGGUGAAUACGUUCCCGGGUCUUGUACACACCGCCCGUCACACCACGAGAGUCUGUAACACCCGAAGCCGGUGGAGUAACCAUUUAUGGAGCUAGCCGUCGAAUGAGUGGGACAAAUGAUGGAGGGUGAAGUCGUAACAAGGU